AUUGAACGCUGGCGGCAGGCCUAACACAUGCAAGUCGAGCGGAUGAAGGGAGCUUGCUCCUUGAUUCAGCGGCGGACGGGUAAGUAAUGCCUAGGAAGCUGCCUGGUAGUAGGGGAUAACGUCCGGGAACGGGCGCUAAUACCGCAUACGUCCUGAGGGAGAAAGUGGAGGAUCUUCGGGCCUCACGCUAUCAGAUGAGCCUAGGGCGGAUUAGCUAGUUGGUGGGGUAAAGGCCUACCAAGGCGACGAUCCGUAACUGGUCUGAGAGGAUGAUCAGUCACACUGGAAUUGAGACACGGUCAAGACUCUUACGGGAGGCACAAGUGGGGAAUAUUGGACAAUGGGCGAAAGCCUGCUCCAGACCUGCGGCGUGUGUGAAGAAGGUCUUCGGAUUGUAAAGCACUUUAAGUUGGGAGGAAGGGCAGUAAGUUAAUACCUUGCUGUUUUGACGUUACCAACAGAAUAAGCACCGGCUAACUUCGUG
rnacentral:rRNA from 1 species